AUGUGUCUGGGCUAAAACAACAUAAAAAAAUAAGAUCAAUUUCAAGUAAACAAAUUAAAUUGGGAUUGGUGAAACAAAAUUCUCAGGUGCUGUAACAUGUUAUCCAAAGAAGUUCUUGUGACGCAGAGGCAUGUUUAGUAGCACAAAGCCAUACUUGUAAAUUUUAAGAAGUUAGUUGUAUGUAUGUAUGAUGUAAACUUAACUGAUCUGUAAACGAAAUUUGACACCAAACUAAACAACAUGCAUUCCUCUUCUUAUUCUGCUCCUCAUCUAGAACUGCAUUAACAACAUGUUUGCCUGGAAAUAAAAUCAUAAUAAAGAA